ensembl:lncRNA
CAGCAGCUAACUACACCUGGUUCAGGGAACCUGAAAUCCCAGUGAAAGAAUCAGGACAGAACUACACCAUCACUUAUAUCACAUCUGAGCAUGAAGAAAACUAUUACUGCCAAGCUCAUAAUGCAAUCGGACAUCAUAAUUCCACCUCAGUGUUCAUUAAAGGGGCGACAUCAUCAUCAUGGACAACAACAGGAGCUGUGGGAACCAUUUUUGUCUUACUGGCCACCAUACUCCUCCUCGUCUUCCUCUGGAUGAGAAAAAAGAGGGCCUCCAGAAAAGCAUAUGGACAGGGUGGAAGGCCAGAUACUUGCCAGGAG